AUUGAACGCUGGCGGCAGGCCUAACACAUGCAAGUCGAGCGAGCGGCGGACGGGUGAGUAAUGUAUGGGGACUGCCCGAUGGAGGGGGAUAACUACAGGAAACGGUAGCUAAUACCGACUACUAUCAGAUAACCCAUAUGGGAUUGGCUAGUAGGUGAGGUAAGGGCCCACCUAGGCGACGAUCCCUAGCUGGUCUGGUAGGAGGAGCAGCCACACUGGGACUGAGACACGGCCCAGACUCCUACGGAGUCAGCAGUGGGGAAUAUUGCACAAUGGGCGCAAUCCGUAUGCAGCCAUGCCGCGUGUAUGAAGAAGGCCCUAGGGUUGUAAAGUACUUUCAGUCGGGAGGCGUUACCGACAGAAGAAGCACCGGCUAACUCCGUGCCAGCAGCCGCGGUAAUUC
rnacentral:rRNA from 1 species